rnacentral:tRNA from 1 species
CGGGACGUGGCGCAGCUUGGUAGCGCGCGCGCAUGGGGCGCGCGAGGUCGCUGGUUCAAAUCCAGUCGUCCCGACCA